UACGAAGGGGGCUAGCGUUGCUCGGAAUCACUGGGCGUAAAGCGCACGUAGGCGGCUUGUUAAGUCAGGGGUGAAAUCCUGGAGCUCAACUCCAGAACUGCCUUUGAUACUGUCGGACUAGAGUGCGGAAGAGGCGAGUGGAAUUCCUGGUGUAGCGGUGAAAUGCGCAGAUAUCAGGAGGAACACCAAUUGCGAAGGCAGCUCGCUGGGACGUUACUGACGCUGAGACGCGAAAGCGUGGGGAGCAAACAGG
rnacentral:rRNA from 1 species